UCUUCCUCCUAGAUCAGGAACCCUAAUUCUAUGGCGCCAUCCAACCUUUCCUCUUCUACUCCAUUCAAUUGCCGACAAUAAUUCAUUUUCUGUCAAAUUCAUCAUCGUCACUUUCAAAAAUCACAAUUUUUUCUGCUUGAUUCGAGUUGUAAAGCGCUUGUAGAAAGAUUAUCAUCAGCGGAUAAACCGGUUAUGGAUUCACAAGCAAUAACUUUGUUGAAGGACUUGGGUGUUUUGAAGAUUGAUUCCAGGAUUAAAGUUCGAAUCAAAAGACUUUGGACUAGACCAAUGUUAAAGUAUCCGGCAAAAGUCUUUUCUUACCAUAUGAUCAUUAUGGAUUAUAAGACGGGUUUCUAAACCAAAAUCUAGGUCGGAGAUGAAGUUUUCCUCAAAAGCAUUCUAAACUCUACCGAGACUGUAGCAAGAGGAAGAGUCCAGAGCUUGGACCCAAAUGAACUAGUUGGUGGUACAGAGAUUGGACCAGAAUGGUGUGAGGUAAACGUUUAAGUACCAAUAAAAAAGAUGAAAACUUGGUAAGACCAUAUGGUUUAUUUUCUACAAUUCAAGAUUGUAUUGGUGCAUCCAUCGCAUGGCCCUAUCCAUUCAUCUCGGUAGUCCAUGAGGAUUGAGGACGUAUGAUGACUCAAGAUUUUAUGCUUCUUAUUAUUUCUUUAAUUGCUUUUAAUUUCAUUGUUAAAUGUUAAGAUUUUACGUUAGAUAAUGUUAUAACUUAUUAUGGUUAGUGUUUUUGUUA